GAGUGAAGCGGCAACAGCUCAAAUUUGAAAUCUGGCUCCGAGUUGUAAUUUGUAGAGGGCGCUUUGGUGUUGGCCGGUCUAAGUUCCUUGGAACAGGACGUCACAGAGGGUGAGAAUCCCGUACGGUCGACAGUCCACCGUGUAAGCCCCUUCGACGAGUCGAGUUGUUUGGGAAUGCAGCUCUAAAUGGGAGGUAAAUUUCUUCUAAAGCUAAAUAUUGGCCAGAGACCGAUAGCGCACAAGUAGAGUGAUCGAAAGAUGAAAAGCACUUUGGAAAGAGAGUCAAAAAGCACGUGAAAUUGUUGAAAGGGAAGCGCUUGCAAUCAGACUUACCUGUAGGCUCACCUAGGCUCUUGCCUAGUGCACUCUUGCAAUAGGCCAGCAUCAGUUCAGGCGGUUGGAUAAGACCUCUAUCACGUAUCUUCGAUGACCUUAUAGGGGAGGUGAUGCACCAGCCUGGAUUGAGGUCCGCGCAUCUGCUAGGAUGCUGGCGUAAUGAUUGUAAGCGGCCCGUCUUGAAACACGGACCAAGGAGUCUAACAUCUAUGCGAGUGUUUGGGUGUCAAGCCCGGGCGCGCAAUGAAAGUGAACGGAGGUGGGAACGGUGCACCAUCGACCGAUCCUGAUGUCUUCGGAUGGAUUUGAGUAGAGCAUAGCUGUUGGGACCCGAAAGAUGGUGAACUAUGCCUGAAU
rnacentral:rRNA from 1 species